rnacentral:ncRNA from 1 species
UCCGUCGAGUAUUUGUCGGUCCUUGACGAAGCCCAUGCUUAACACAUGCAAGUCGGACGGGAAGUGGUGUUUCCAGUGGCGGACGAGUGAGUAACGCGCAAGAACCUACCCAUGGGAGGGGAACAACAACUGGAAACGGCUGCUAAUACCCCGUAGGCUGAAGAGCAAAAGGAGGAAUCCGCCCAAGGAGGGGCUCACGUUUGAUUAGCUAGUUGGUGAGGCAAUAGCUUACCAAGGCGAUGAUCAACCACACUGGGACUGAGACACGGCCCAGACUCCUACGGGAGGUAGCAGUGGGGAAUUUUCCACAAUGGCCGAAAGCCUGACGGAGCAAUGCCGUGUGAAGGUAGAAGGCCCACGGGUCGUGAACUUCUUGUCCCGGAGAAGAAGCAAUGAUGGUAUCCGAGGAAUAAGCAUCGGCUAACUCUGUGCCAGCAGCCGUGGUAAGACAGAGGAUGCAAGCGUUAUCUGGAAUGAUUGGGCGUAAAGCGUCUGUAGGUGGCUUUUCAAGUCCGUCGUCAAAUCCCAGGGCUCAACCCUGGACAGGCGAUGGAAACUACCAAGCUGGAGUACGGUAGGGGAGCAAAGGGAAUUUCCCUAGGUGGGAGAGAUAACCCAAUGAGGACCUCCUUGAGCCUGGUGGCCAGAACCUUG